rnacentral:rRNA from 1 species
AUUGAACGCUGGCGGCAGGCCUAACACAUGCAAGUCGAACGAGUGGCGGACGGGUGAGUAAUGUCUGGGAAACUGCCCGAUGGAGGGGGAUAACUACUGGAAACGGUAGCUAAUACCGCGUACCAUCGGAUGUGCCCAGAUGGGAUUAGCUUGUAGGUGAGGUAACGGCUCACCUAGGCGACGAUCACUAGCUGGUCUGAGAGGAUGACCAGCAACACUGGAACGGUGACACGGUCCAGACUAGUAGGGGAGGGAGAAGGGGUGAAUAUGGCAAAAGGGGCGCAAGUCGGAUGAAUCCAUGCCGCGGGGAUGAAGAAGGCCUUCGGGUUGUAAAGUACUUUCAGCGGGGAGGCGUUACCCGCAGAAGAAGCACCGGCGAACUCCGUGCCAGCAGCCGCGGUAAGAC